rnacentral:lncRNA from 1 species
AAUCAUUUACAAAACACCACAUCAUCAUGAAGCCAUCAUUAGAAACAAAUCAAAAAGACACAUACGUUUGUGUCAAUGGCUUGUAAUGCUAACCGAUCCACCACACAAUUUGUUUUGGAACACCCGUCAACCUGUUAGAAUUACAUAAUUAAUAUACAACCAUAUCGAAUUUUUUCAUUUCUUCUUAGGGUAUGCCACCUUUACCCCUGAUUUUGUUGUUGUAGCAUUCAUCAAUUUCUUCUUGGCAUCGCGCCCAAAGUUUCCCUUAACCUGUUAAUCCCAAACGUUAUUUGUACACACAUAAAAGAACAGAAUGACUAACAAAACGAAUAACUAUAAUUAAAAAAUGAACAGAGUUCGAUCAAUUACCCUAUUAGAACGCCUGACCUCUAUCUUCUCCACAACAACGUCGCUCACAUCCUUGUCUUGGUCCUUUGCAUUUUCUUUAUUCGCAACAAUUAAAUUCUGAUGCGUAAGAAAACGAACAAAUGUCAAUUGUUGUCGUUGAAGAAAGAGUAGAAGCACAUUUUUAAUGAAUUUUAUUUACGUUGCCGUCAUGAUAUGUAUUUAUAGUAACCAAAUACCUCAUCGUCCUUUGCUGAACCACAA